UACCAGAGCCAUCUUGCCUGGUUUCCCACUGAAACUAAGAAGGGUUGAGCCUGGCCAGUACCUGGAUGGGAGACCUCGAGGGGAAAACUAAGGAUGCUGUAGGAA
rnacentral:rRNA from 1 species